rnacentral:tRNA from 1 species
ACUUAAGUAGUUUAAAAAAAAUUAUGAUUUGUGGAGUCAUAGAUAUAAAGUAUUAUUUUAGGUU